GCAUUGUGAUGGGUGUGCUGCCCGGCAGGCCCCUUUUACACCAGCGCAUCAGACGUGCUGAUCGUUUUCUUUUCGGUUUGGCACGACUCAUCGCUCUCCCUCCUCUCUGCGCUACCUCACGCUCCCCGCGUGCUCACAAUAGUCCUCGCGCUCGUUACUGUCUCCCGAUCCUUUUAUCGCUUUACCGCCUCGCGCUUCUCUCCUGCGUAAGCGCGCCCAUCGACCUUGCUGGAAGACGAGCAUCCCUUUCUACCCCCUCGCCCACACACACACACACACCAAAAAGAAAGUUGAGGCGAGAGAGGGGACCGACCUGGGCCUCGUGCCGGAGGGCUCACGUAGAUUACGCGGGACGGAGACCAGCGGUGACGCGCAGGCAUAUCGACAAGCAAAACGCCGACAGAGAGACGGAGGCCGACUUGUUUGCAUCGCCGUCUCACAUCGGCGCGAUUUGGGCUCGCACAGACGCGAGGGAGCUACACCUGAUCCUCGUGCCUCCGACACCACCCACCUCAGCGCACUCUCGCUUUCCAAGCACCUCGCUCUCUACCUCUGCUGAUCGCAGUUUUCUCCUUCUUUUACUUGUUGACAUGAGCCGGCACAGCCGCAAGUUGCACGUGCGCCUGCUGCGCGCCGCCGUCGUCGUCGCUGCAGGCACAUUUGCAUAUCGGCGAUGGUGUCUUCGCCCCUCCAGCGCGUUGUCGGCUUCUGCCUACCGGCCGGCGAAUGGAGCCGACCAUUACCGUGACAGUCCCGCACCGCGCUCUUCGCGCUGGGCAGCGCUGCAACGAAGCUCAGCAGCGGACCCAUUUGACCUCCUCGUGAUUGGUGGGGGCCUCACAGGCCUCUACACUGCCGUCGAUGCGGCACAACGCGGGCUGCGAGUGGCUUUGGUCGACGCGGCAGACUUCGGUGGAGGCAGCGCAGCUUCGUGCAUGCCCUCUGUCUCUCCAGGCGCGUUGCCGUACGUGCAGCGAGCCCUGCGACAGCGCGACUGGGACUGGCUGCGGAUGGCGGCAACCGUGCUCGUGGAGGAGACGACGUGGCGCAACGUCGCACCGCGGUGUGUUGUGGCGCCCGACACACUGCUGCGACGCUGGCAGAACUGGCGUUGGCGAGGCACCGUGGGCGGAAGCGGCUGCGAAGCCGCGUCCAAAGCAGGGGCCGCCGAAGAUGGCACCACUGCUGUGUUACAUUCAGAAGAAACUUCAGCGAAAGCGCCGUCGUUACUGCCUUUCGAUCCGACGCCUGCCACAACGACGCUGUUGCCAGCCUUGCACUCGACGGAGAUGGUGGAGUACGUCUGCGCCGCGAUUUUGAGUACGGUGAUGAGCAUUUUUUGCGGCCCGCUGCGCCCGAACCUCGUGCUACCUGGGCCCGUCGUUCAGGCGCGCCUACCAGCGCUCGCACCCAGCCCGGGGCCGUCCCCCUCGCCAGCGCGACUGCGAGGGGGCAUCAUAGCCAACGACUUCGCGCUGCGUGGAAAUACAGUCGCCGUGUCGCUUGCACGCACCGCAGAGGAGCUCGGUGUGACGGUGUUAUCCUAUGCCCCUGUGUUCGCCAUUCAAGAGGUUUCUGCGCCGGCCACGACGGAGAUGGAGAUGAGUUCGCCGUCCAGUUCUACCCGCGCCUCUUCGUGCGCUGGCGUGAUGCUGGUCUCUGUUCGCGAUGCGUUGGCUGCGAAGGCAGUUGCAGCGAGUCUGCCAGCGUCGCCAGACCGAUCACGGCCACGCUUCUUGCAGCGGCUACUGGGACAGAGCAGCGCCUCUUCUCCCUCAUCCACUGCCGACUCGGCUGCAUCGCCGAGAAGCGCAGUAUGGAGCCCGGAUGCCGCAACCACGACGCACGUCUACACACGCGGCGUGGUGAACUGCACAGGGUGCUGGGCAGACACCGUGAAGGCCAUGUUCGACGGAAACGCCAGUGACACCGUGCCGGCUGCGUUUGCCGGAUACCAGGCGUACUCCUACCUGAUUGCUCCCGCCAACGCCGUGCAUGCUGCGCCGCCCCCAUCAACGCCACCCACGGACAGCCACGGCGUAGGACAGGGGGCCGUGGCCUCCUUACCGCCGCUUUCCGAGACGAUGCGGGCAGCGGCACUGCUCUUCAGCUCUCCACGGCUGAGUUUUGCCUCGGUGAUGGUGCUGCCGUGGUGGGACCGGUGCGUGAUGCUGGGGCCGAGUAUCUCUUCGCUGCCACGGCUGCCGGCGACCGUCACGGCGCACACCAACGGUUCGCUGCACUCGGUGGACGGAUACGCCGCACAGCGCCAGCGUACGCUGUCGAUGCUGCGCAGCAGCGGCGUGUCUGUGGACGCAUCGCGCCUGCUCUCGUGCGUGUCGCAGAUUGUGCCGCACGUGAAGGGGCCUAAGGAAGUGCCGUGGACUGGAGCGCUGCUGCAUCGAGGCUACGCCUUGCACUUUUCUUCAGUGCCGCUGCCCAAGAGAGGCGACCAGAGUGACAUCGAAGAACUUGUGUCUUUGGUAAGCAACUGUGCAGACGCCACCGGGGACGCUGUCGCUGUUGCGCGCCGCGACGUCCCGCUCCUCCACGUGUACGGCGGUACCCCGCUGUUGGCACGUCGGAUUGCUGAGGAGGCGGUCGACGCCCUUGUGUACCACGAGCCGCCGCUGUUCUCAGAGAAGACGCGCAAGAAGCUCCACCGGUGCCGCACGCGCUAUCUGCAACUGACUACGCCAGCUUCUCUCUGCACCACCACCGAUAGCGGGCCGAUGAACGCACGAGCGCGUCUGGAGACCCUUGUGAAGGACACCUACGCUGAACGCGUAGUCGAUGUCGUAGCCCGCCGCACACACACCGCGUACACCAGCCCUGCCGAAGCCCUGCAAGCCAUACCCACGCUAGCGAGCGUCAUGGGUGGUCUGCUGCAGUGGGAUGAAGCCAGGAGAUUUUCAGAGGUUGAGGCUGCGCGGCGUCUCGUGCACAGCGUGGCGGUAACCGUUUGAAUUGCGUUGUCGAUGCUGUUCGCGGCGGUGGCGGUGGGGCGGAACGUCCGUCUUGGAAGAGGGCGGCGCUUCUUUGGUACCCCUUGUCUCUGUGUGGCUCCAGCGGUGUUUUGUGCGCUAUGGUCGCAAGCCGCCAGCCGCCAGCCAGCCACCCCACUCCCUCCUUCGCAGUCACGCAGGCAGGCACACACGCACACGGGGAUAGAGAGACUGAAGCACUCUUCCUGUUCUUCUAUCUCUGUGUCUUUAGAGGAUCCGGCCAGGUGGCCUGCCCAUCGCUCUCCGUGCAUGCGGUCGCGUACGCGCGCGUUCUUACGCCUCACGUGUGACCGGACACCUUCUCUCUACUUUGGUCCUUUCGUGUCUCCCUCUGUCUGCGCGCUCCAUGGCAUCGCCGCAAAACGCCACAGGAACGCUGAAAAAAAAGCCCGUAGGGCGGGGGGAGGGGAGGGGCGCCGGGUGUGCACACGCUGGAUCUAUCAUUGCGGCGCCAGAGCGUGCAAGUGUUUUUUUUUUUUCGGUGGCGGUGAUGGUGGUGAUGGGGCACUGGAUAGCCUACAUGCUUCAACGCGCGCGCUCAAUCGUGCGAUCGUGCGGGGCGCGGCGUGAGGGUGCUCAUUUCCCGUUUUGAAAGAAGGCGAUGUUUCGGGGCGGGAUGUUGGUCCUCGCUCUCCCUCGCCCUCUCCCCGGCUGCCCCCCCCCCCACCGAAGCAGCUCACUGCAGCUGGAACGUCUUGCGCCGCGCUUUGAUUUGCGCUCUGUUCUU
rnacentral:misc_RNA from 1 species